rnacentral:misc_RNA from 1 species
GGUAGACAAAGUUCUGUACCAUAAAUCUAAUUUGAAGAUUUAAAAUAUAUUUAGUGUUGUAGCUUCUCUUUUGCCAAAUUCACCGAAGAUACAAUCACCGUGUUCAUUUGUGAUCCUUUCUAUUCAAAAGAAGUUUUGAAAUGUAGCAUAGCAAUCAUGAUCAUGUAGGAUUCCAGGUGUUUGAGGUGUGUAAUCGCUCCCUGCAAUUCCCCAUUGCUACGGAAAAUCUC